GACGAACGCUGGCGGCGUGCUUAACACAUGCAAGUCGAACGGACAGGCUCCAGCUUGCUGGAGUACUCGAGUGCCGCACGGGUGAGUAACACGUGGGUGAACUGCCCUGCACUUCGGGAUAAGACUGGGAAACUGGGUCUAUUACACGAUAGGACCGCACUUUGGUGUGUGUGGUGGAAAGGUUUUUCUGGUGUGGGAUGAGCUCGCGGCCUAUCGGUUUGUUGGUGGUGUAAUGGCAUACCAAGACGGCGCCGGGCAGCCGGCCUGAGCGGGUGGACGGGCGCACAGGGACUGAGGGAAGGCCCAGGCAGGUACUGGAGGCAGCAGGGGGGAAGAUUGCACGAUGAGGGAAGCCCGGGUGCAGCGGGGCUGCGUGGGGGAUGAAGGUGUUCUGGUUGUAGACUCCUUGCGCAAGGAACGAAGCUUUUUGUGACGGUACCUGGAGAAGAAGCACCGGCUAACUACGUG
rnacentral:rRNA from 1 species